rnacentral:rRNA from 1 species
UACAGAGGGGGCAAGCGUUGUUCGGAAUUACUGGGCGUAAAGCGUGCGCGAGCGGUUGUGCAAGACAGAUGUGAAAUCCCCGGGCUCAACCUGGGAACUGCAUUUGUGACUGCACGGCUGGAGUGCGGCAGAGGGGGAUGGAAUUCCGCGUGUAGCAGUGAAAUGCGUAGAGAUCCGGAGGAACACCAGAGGCGAAGGCGGCCUACUGGGCUGCACCUGACGCUGAGCCGCGAAGCCAGGGGAGCGAACGGG